GAUGAAGAACGCAGCGAAAUGCGAUACGUAGUGUGAAUUGCAGAAUUCCGUGAACCAUCAAAUCUUUGAACGCAUAUUGCGCUCGAGGCUUCGGCCGAGAGCAUGUCUGCCUCAGCGUCGGUAUUACCCCUCGCUUCUCAAUCCCUGGUUGAUGCCUGCCUGCCUUUGCAGUUGGCUAGAAGCGGAUCUGGCUUUCCCAAUUGCCUUUGGUAGUUGGGUCAGCUGAAGCACAGAGGCUUGAGCAAGGACCCUUAUUGGGCUUCAACUGGAUAGGUAGAACUGGUCUUAGGACCAACUACACGAAGUUGUUGCUUGUGGUCUUUGUCUGGAGGCCAGCAGGAAACCUUUAUACCUUCGACCUGAGCUCAGGCAAGAUUACCCGCUGAACUUAAGCAUAUCAAUAAGCGGAGGA
rnacentral:misc_RNA from 1 species